AUUGAACGCUGGCGGCAGGCUUAACACAUGCAAGUCGAGCGGGGGAAGGUAGCUUGCUACCGGACCUAGCGGCGGACGGGUGAGUAAUGCUUAGGAAUCUGCCUAUUAGUGGGGGACAACAUCUCGAAAGGGAUGCUAAUACCGCAUACGUCCUAUGGGAGAAAGCAGGGGAUCUUCGGACCUUGCGCUAAUAGAUGAGCCUAAGUCGGAUUAGCUAGUUGGUGGGGUAACGGCCUACCAAGGCGACGAUCUGUAGCGGGUCUGAGAGGAUGAUCCGCCACACUGGGACUGAGACACGGCCCAGACUCCUACGGGAGGCAGCAGUGGGGAAUAUUGGACAAUGGGGGGAACCCUGAUCCAGCCAUGCCGCGUGUGUGAAGAAGGCCUUAUGGUUGUAAAGCACUUUAAGCGAGGAGGAGGCUACUUUAGUUAAUACCUAGAGAUAGUGGACGUUACUCGCAGAAUAAGCACCGGCUAACUCUGUGCCAGCAGCCGCGGUAA
rnacentral:rRNA from 1 species